rnacentral:rRNA from 1 species
GACCUCAAAUCAGGUAGGGCUACCCGCUGAACUUAAGCAUAUCAAUAAGCGGAGGAAAAGAAACUAACAAGGAUUCCCCUAGUAGCGGCGAGCGAACCGGGACGAGCUCAAAUUUGAAAUCUGGCGCCCUCCGGGCGCCCGAGUUGUAAUCUACAGAAGCGUCUUCCGCGCCGGACCGUGUCCAAGUCCCUUGGAACAGGGUAUCAAAGAGGGUGACAAUCCCGUGCUUGACACGACGACCGGUGCUCUGUGAUGCGCUCUCCACGAGUCGAGUUGUUUGGGAAUGCAGCUCAAAACGGGUGGUAAAUUCCAUCUAAAGCUAAAUAUUGGCAAGAGACCGAUAGCGAACAAGUACCGUGAGGGAAAGAUGAAAAGCAC